rnacentral:rRNA from 1 species
CCUACGGGUGGCAGCAGUGGGGAAUAUUGCACAAUGGGGGAAACCCUGAUGCAGCGACGCCGCGUGAAGGAAGAAGUAUUUCGGUAUGUAAACUUCUAUCAGCAGGGAAGAAAAUGACGGUACCUGACUAAGAAGCUCCGGCUAACUACGUGCCAGCAGCCGCGGUAAUACGUAGGGGGCAAGCGUUAUCCGGAUUUACUGGGUGUAAAGGGAGCGUAGACGGCGAUGCAAGUCAGAAGUGAAAGCCCGGGGCUCAACUGCGGGACUGCUUUUGAAACUGUAUGGCUAGAGUGCAGGUGAGGCAAGUGGAAUUCCUAGUGUAGCGGUGAAAUGCGUAGAUAUUAGGAGGAACACCGGUGGCGAAGGCGGCUUGCUAGACUGUAAAUGACGCUGAGGCUCGAAAGCGUGGGGAGCAAACAGGAUUAGAUACCCGAGUAGUC